rnacentral:lncRNA from 1 species
CGAUCGCCACCCAACUCGGCCGCCAACAACGCCGGAAACGGCCGGAAACACGCCUGGAAGCCGCUGCCUUCGCGCUCUUCCGCCGCCGCUGGAGCUGCUGCUGCCGCCGCCGCUGCGCUCGCCAACGCACGCCGCUCCGUCGGCCAGCGCUCCGCGCCCCCGACGGUUGCCACCGACGCCUGCAGCGUCCCCUUCUCUCUCUUCCCGGCGCCGCACUCUCUCUCUCUCUC